GUCUACAGCCAUACCACUCUGAAUGUACCAAUCUUGUCUGAUCUUGGAAGAUAAGCAGGAUUGGAUCUAGUUAGUACUUGGAUAGGAAGAAUAGAAGAGUUU
rnacentral:rRNA from 1 species